CCUACGGGCGACUGCAGUGGGGGAUAUUGCACAAUGGGGGCAACCCUGAUGCAGCGACGCCGCGUGUUGGAAGACGGUCUUCUGGUUUUUACACCACUGUCCCCAGGGCCGAUGUUGACGGUACCUGGGGAAUAAGCUCCGGCUAACUACGUGCCAGCAGCCGCGGUAAUACGUAGGGAGCGAGCGUUGUCCGGAAUUACUGGGUGUAAAGGGAGCGUAGGCGGGACUGCAAGUUGAGUGUAAAAUCUACCGGCUCAACCUGUAGCCGCACUCAAAACUGCAGUUCUUGAGUGAAGUAGAGGCAGGCGGAAUGCCGGGUGUAGCGGUGAAAGGCGUAGAUAUUAGGAGGAACACCAGUGGCGAAGGCGGCCUGCUGGGCAUUAACUGACGCUGAGGCGCGAAAGUGUGGGGAGCAAACAGGAUUAGAUACCCGGGUAGUC
rnacentral:rRNA from 1 species